rnacentral:rRNA from 1 species
UAACCUGCUAAAUAGUGACGCGAAUUUUUGGAUUUGCGGGUUUACUUCUUAGAGGGACUGCGGGCGUUUAGCUCGCGGAAGUUUGAGGCAAUAACAGGUCUGUGAUGCCCUUAGAUGUUCUGGGCCGCACGCGCGCUACACUGACGGAGUCAGCGAGUAUAUAGCCUGGGCCGAAAGGUCUGGGUAAUCUUGUGAAACUUCGUCGUGAUGGGGAUAGAGCAUUGCAAUUUUUGUUCUUCAACGAGGAAUUCCUAGUAGGCGUCGGUCAUCAGCCGGCGUCGAUUACGUCCCUGCCCUUUGUACACACCGCCCGUCGCU